AUGACAGAGAGUUGCCGAGUCAACGAGACAACGUUGGUCCAAAUGAAGCAGACACUGAGGUGGCCACCACCCGUGUGGCAGACUGGCUGGGGUCCCGUGCUCCCCAGGCCUCUGGAAUCCUUAUACACCCCUGCUGCCGGCUGGCACCAAGCUCAGGACAGACAGGGACCGGACCCUGCAGCUCUUGGAGCUGGAGCACACAGCCCUGCAGCCUGGUCCCGGGAUUCCUGGCUCCUGGGAAUCUCGUUUGUGCAGUCAUUUUCAGCAUCUGUGGUCACUGACCACUGGGUGAUGGGGGGGGGCGGGGGGCGUUGGGUGUGUGUCUCUGGCAGGACUAUUGUCCUCCCAACAGUUGUCCAGCAGCCCCUCGGAGCCCCGUGGCUGCCUGUGGAGCUUCCCUGGCCCUUUCCUCUACGUGCCUCCUCGUCCCCGAUUACUUGGAGUUUGGUGGGAGAGACAACUCUACCCAGGGCUUCUGCGGCUGCUCAACAGGCACUGGAGGGACAGCUGGGGACUCGGAGGGACCCAGAGUCACGUGCACGGUGGCGAGUGAGAUGGAAUCUAAGAGCUCUUCGGGCUCACAGCCUUUCCGCUCUGCAGGAGGGAAGGCCUGUCUCUCGGGGCAGCAACCAGCCAUCCCGCAGUCCCAGGCUCUCCCUCCCUUACAACGCCCAGGAGGCUCCAGUGGGUGCUUGGGCUCUGAAACGCUGUUCUUCCCCCCUCUUUACACCCCCCCUCCCCCAGAGCUCUGUGUUCCGGGGCCCAGGGCAGCCCUGGAGCUCAAGAUUUGUGUUACUGAUCUGGGUCCUCCUGGGCCUCCGUUGUAGUGGGAACUGCAUGGAAACCAGCGGAGAAAAAGUAGAAACCUUUGGAAAAGAGGCCCAUGAACCUUCACCAGAGGGCCAGUGCUUCUCAAGACACCGGUUCAUCUCCCUUCACCCUGUGACCCUGCACUUUAACGGCCGCAGGGCGACGCCAGGGAAGGAGCCCCGAGGGGAUCAUUUUCAGGCCUCAGCAUGA
rnacentral:lncRNA from 12 species